rnacentral:pre_miRNA from 1 species
GGGAUGCCACAUCCAGCCAUCCAGCGUGCAGUGCCCUUCGCAGGGAGGUGUCAUUCAUGUGGACUAAAUCAUGAAUGUCGCCUUCUUGAGAAGAGUAAUGUACAGCCUGUACUGCACAUGUGGUGUCCC